ACUCCUGCGGGAGGCAGCAGUGAGGAAUAUUGGACAAUGGGUGGAAGCCUGAUCCAGCCAUCCCGCGUGCAGGAAGACGGCCCUAUGGGUUGUAAACUGCUUUUAUCUGGGGAUAAACCUACUUACGUGUAAGUAGCUGAAGGUACCAGAAGAAUAAGCACCGGCUAACUCCGUGCCAGCAGCCGCGGUCAUACGGAGGGUGCAAGCGUUAUCCGGAUUUAUUGGGUUUAAAGGGUCCGUAGGCGGACUGAUAAGUCAGUGGUGAAAUCCGACAGCUUAACUGUCGAACUGCCAUUGAUACUGUUAGUCUUGGGUAAGGUUGAAGUGGCUGGAAUAAGUAGUGUAGCGGUGAAAUGCAUAGAUAUUACUUAGAACACCAAUUGCGAAGGCAGGUCACUAAGUCUUAACUGACGCUGAUGGACGAAAGCGUGGGGAGCGAACAGGAUUAGAUACCCCGGUAGUCCCAUG
rnacentral:rRNA from 1 species